GAUGAACGCUGGCGGCGUGCCUAAUACAUGCAAGUCGAGCGAACAGAUAAGGAGCUUGCUCCUUUGACGUUAGCGGCGGACGGGUGAGUAACACGUGGGUAACCUACCUAUAAGACUGGGAUAACUUCGGGAAACCGGAGCUAAUACCGGAUAAUAUUUCGAACCGCAUGGUUCGAUAGUGAAAGAUGGUUUUGCUAUCACUUAUAGAUGGACCCGCGCCGUAUUAGCUAGUUGGUAAGGUAACGGCUUACCAAGGCGACGAUACGUAGCCGACCUGAGAGGGUGAUCGGCCACACUGGAGCUGAGACACGGUCCAGACGCCUACGGGAGGCAGCAGUAGGGAAUCUUCCGCAAUGGGCGAAACCCUGACGGAGCAACGCCGCGUGAGUGAUGAAGGUCUUCGGAUCGUAAAACUCUGUUAUUAGGGAAGAACAUACGUGUAAGUAACUGUGCACGUCUUGACGGUACCUAAUCAGAAAGCCACGGCUAACUACGUG
rnacentral:rRNA from 1 species